UACGAGGACCCCAAGCGUUAUCCGGAAUUACUGGGCGUAAAGCGUGAGCAGCCGGUUUUGCUAGUCUCAUGUCAAAUCUCACUGCUCAACGGUGAGACAGCGUGGGAAACGGCAAUACUAGAGUGGGUAAGAGGUAGACGGAACGUGCAGUGUAGGGGUGAAAUCCAUUGAUAUUGGGAAGAACACCAGUGGCGAAGGCGGCUCACUGGCCCGGUACUGACGCUGAGGCGCGAAAGCGUGGGGAGCAAACAGG
rnacentral:rRNA from 1 species